rnacentral:rRNA from 1 species
CCGUAAUCCGGGUUGCGGACAGUGUCUGGUGGGUAGUUUGACUGGGGCGGUCUCCUCCUAAAGAGUAACGGAGGAGCACGAAGGUUGGCUAAUCCUGGUCGGACAUCAGGAGGUUAGUGCAAUGGCAUAAGCCAGCUUGACUGCGAGCGUGACGGCGCGAGCAGGUGCGAAAGCAGGUCAUAGUGAUCCGGUGGUUCUGAAUGGAAGGGCCAUCGCUCAACGGAUAAAAGGUACUCCGGGGAUAACAGGCUGAUACCGCCCAAGAGUUCAUAUCGACGGCGGUGUUUGGCACCUCGAUGUCGGCUCAUCACAUCCUGGGGCUGAAGUAGGUCCCAAGGGUAUGGCUGUUCGCCAUUUAAAGUGGUACGCGAGCUGGGUUUAGAACGUCGUGAGACAGUUCGGUCCCUA